CAGGUGUCAUGGAUUUGACUUAAUAGAGAAGCCGGUGUAAGGCCGGAGCGGUCCCGCCACUGUAUGGGGAGCGAAUCUGCAGAGUGAUGUCACUGAAGGAAACUUUGGGAAGGCGCAGAGGAGCGAUGAACCGAGCCAGGAGAACUGCCUGUUUAA
rnacentral:ncRNA from 1 species